rnacentral:rRNA from 1 species
CCUACGGGUGGCAGCAGUGAGGAAUAUUGGUCAAUGGGCGAGAGCCUGAACCAGCCAAGUCGCGUGAAGGAUGAAGGAUCUAUGGUUUGUAAACUUCUUUUAUCUGGGAAUAAAGUGAGGAACGUGUUCCUUUUUGUAUGUACCAUAUGAAUAAGCAUCGGCUAACUCCGUGCCAGCAGCCGCGGUAAUACGGAGGAUGCGAGCGUUAUCCGGAUUUAUUGGGUUUAAAGGGUGCGUAGGUGGUUAGUUAAGUCAGCGGUGAAAGUUUGUGGCUCAACCAUAAACUUGCCGUUGAAACUGGUUGUCUUGGGUGAGUGUGAGGUAGGCGGAAUGCGUGGUGUAGCGGUGAAAUGCAUAGAUAUCACGCAGAACUACGAUUGCGAAGGAAGCAUA